AUCCUCCAAAAGGUGAAGAGAUAUCUUACUUCUCCAGCUCAUCCCAGAAGACAUGUGGGUCAGAGCUUUUCUGCCGGAUCUUCAACAUGUGCUGCACCAGGCGGAUGGAGCGAUUAUAGGAUUUGUCCAGUUCACUGAUGAUGAACAGCAGGUCUGAGCUGAGGGCUGGCACAGCUGCAUACUGCCACAGCAGCACUGGCAGAAGUUGAGGUUCACUCUGGAGAGAUGAAACCAGAUUAAACUUUGCACUUGAGUCCACUGAGAGCAGAAGAACCAUAUUGAGGAUGGGGCAUCAGCUGGAUGAACACCGCUGGCCUGAUAGAGAGUUGGGGCUGCCUUACCUUGUGGGGCCAGAGAGAUUUUGUCUUGUACUGGCCAUCCUCAUCUUGCUCAUGGUGAACCAGUGAGUCCCAACAGGAACCAUCCACAUAGGCAGCCUGACGCACACUGAAGUUACUGGGAACGAAGCAGCUCAUCGGAGACCCUGGAAGAGGAGUGCAGCUUUGAGACAUCUCUGAGGUGGGAUGGAUGAAAGGGAACCCCAGGGGCCAUCAUCAAAGAGUUUUCAGGGGCUGCCUCCACAAUUCUGGUCAAUUUUUGUGUCUGGCAAGCAUUAUCUUCCCAUGCCUUCUUUCUGAGUUUGGCACUGCUCUGUCAUAGGAAGAGAGGGCAUGACUGGAGAGAACCCCACCAUUUUGCCCUGCCUACCAGUGUGCUGACAGCCUGUUAGGUAUGGCAGUUCUUGUUUCUCAGAGCAUCCCCUAGACACCCUGGCAGGCAGCCAGUGGUGACCCCUACACUCCUGCAGUUUGGCACCAGAAGGUUUGUGGUUUGCUGGUGACAUUUUCCUGAGAGAGCUGGAAUCUUCUAGAUUCUAAAACAUAGAGAAUUAAUGCCCUGGACUUCUGAGCCCAGCUCAAGCAAAAGGGCAGGUAAGUUGUGCUGAAAGGAAAGCAGACUUAGAGGAAGGUCACUGCCUUUCCUGUUUUCCCAUCAUUUUCCAAGAAGAGGUAGAGCCUGGAACCAAUACCUUUCUCCAUCUUGCGGAUGAAUGUAGAAGCCAAACAAGGUGGACAUAUCUCACUAGGAAAUGUCCUAAGCUAACAGGGAAGGGGACCAAGAAAUGGAAGAAGGAGAGGGGAGAGGAAGAGGAUGAAAAAAAG